CUCUGAGUAACUAAGUUGACCAUGUUUUUUUUUUUCCUGUGGGACCCAGUGCACAGUGGCUGCAAGCAGUAGCCUCCAUGGUGGUGUAUACAGGCUGUUCCUUGUACGGAGACAGUCUUUUCCAGAGGACUGUUAUUUCAGGC
rnacentral:snoRNA from 1 species